AAAAAAUAAAUAAAACAACGGUCACCGAACCCGUCGAACUGUUGUAGUCGUACGGCGCAGAGUCAGCGCGGCGAGAACUCAAAAACGUCGCAGGCGUUUUUAUUGAGCGAGCGUUUUAUAAUUUGUUUGGCCCUCCCCUUCCCUCCCUUCACCCCACCGCCGCGAAACUGUGUGCGGGGCGCGCGGAGACGGGUAAUACGGAUCGCCGUGUCCGAUACGCGAGAAGU